CCACAUUUAUGAGGAAAGAGCAUAAGUCAUUUAGUCAAGAAACAUUUGCUCAACACUAGCUAUGGCUCAGCCUUACUGAUACCUGCAGAUGAAGAGGAUACCAAAUAAAGCUGAGAAGCUUAAGGAUGCUGAGUCAAGGAAGAACCAUAGACCACCCACUGGCCAUCUAACCUUCUGCAAAUCAGAAUCACCCAGAAAUCUUUCCGUACCACAGUCCUGAACCUUAUCCCAGACUUAUUGAAACUGAGUCUUCUGGUGUGACAUUUUAAAAAGCUCUCCAGUGGCAUCUGAUGAAACUAACACACUAUCAAUUCACAGCCAGCAUUUGUGCAACAGGGUUCCAGAAUACACAGAGAGUGAGAAAAAACAACCAGAUAAUUGGAAGCAAAGAAGAAUGCUUCAUUAUGGUACCUGGUUGUAAUUUGAAUACUGAGAACUCUGAGACCCCUUCGGAAGGCCUGAGGAGUCAAGUCAGCACCAUAUGAACUUCCCGAAAGAAAAU